rnacentral:rRNA from 1 species
CCCUUAGAUGUUCUGGGCCGCACGCGCGCUACACUGACGGAGGCAGCGAGCGUGUCCUUCGCCGGCAGGUGCGGGCAAUCUUGCGAGUCUCCGUCGUGCUGGGGAUAGAUGGUUGCAAUUGUCGAUCUUGAACGAGGAAUUCCUAGUAAGCGCGAGUCAUCAGCUCGCGCUGAUUACGUCCCUGCCCUUUGUACACACCGCCCGUCGCUACUACAGAGUGCCCGUGUCCAAGAAACGGUCGGACCUGUGCGGCCUCUCCGGGCGACCGGAGGGCCGUUACGGGGAAGACCCUUUAGUUGACGCGGGUCGAUGAAGUAAAAGUCGUAACA